rnacentral:rRNA from 1 species
UGGGGAAUAUUGCACAAUGGAGGGAACUCUGAUGCAGCGACGCCGCGUGAGUGAUGAAGGAAUUCGUUUCGUAAAACUCUGUUCUAUGGGAAGAAAAGGACUGUACCAUAGGAGAAAGCUCCGGCUAAAUACGUGCCAGCAGCCGCGGUAAUACGUAUGGAGCGAGCGUUGUCCGGAAUUAUUGGGCGUAAAGGGUGCGCAGGCGGCUUUACAAGUUGGAUGUGAAAUAUUGUGGCUCAACCACAAACGUGCAUCCAAAACUGCAAAGCUUGAGUUAAGGAGAGGUAAGUGGAAUUCCUGGUGUAGCGGUGGAAUGCGUAGAUAUCAGGAGGAAUACCGGUGGCGAAGGCGACUUACUGGACUUAAACUGACGCUCAGGCACGAAAGCGUGGGGAGCAAACAGGA